AGUGAACGCUGGCGGUAGGCCUAACGCAUGCAAGUCGAACGGCAGCACAGUAAGAGCUUGCUCUUACGGGUGGCGAGUGGCGGACGGGUGAGGAAUACAUCGGAAUCUACUUUUUCGUGGGGGAUAACGUAGGGAAACUUACGCUAAUACCGCAUACGACCUACGGGUGAAAGCAGGGGAUCUUCGGACCUUGCGCGAUCGAAUGAGCCGAUGUCGGAUUAGCUAGUUGGCGGGGUAAGGGCCCACCAAGGCGACGAUCCGUAGCUGGUCUGAGAGGAUGAUCAGCCACACUGGAACUGAGACACGGUCCAGACUCCUACGGGAGGCAGCAGUGGGGAAUAUUGGACAAUGGGCGCAAGCCUGAUCCAGCCAUACCGCGUGGGUGAAGAAGGCCUUCGGGUUGUAAAGCCCUUUUGUUGGGAAAGAAAAGCAGCAGGUUAAUACCCCGCUGUUCUGACGGUACCCAAAGAAUAAGCACCGGCUAACUUCGUG
rnacentral:rRNA from 1 species